AAAUUGAAGAGUUUGAUCAUGGCUCAGAUUGAACGCUGGCGGCAGGCCUAACACAUGCAAGUCGAACGGUAACAGGAAGCAGCUUGCUGCUUUGCUGACGAGUGGCGGACGGGUGAGUAAUGUCUGGGAAACUGCCUGAUGGAGGGGGAUAACUACUGGAAACGGUAGCUAAUACCGCAUAACGUCGCAAGACCAAAGAGGGGGACCUUCGGGCCUCUUGCCAUCGGAUGUGCCCAGAUGGGAUUAGCUAGUAGGUGGGGUAACGGCUCACCUAGGCGACGAUCCCUAGCUGGUCUGAGAGGAUGACCAGCCACACUGGAACUGAGACACGGUCCAGACUCCUACGGGAGGCAGCAGUGGGGAAUAUUGCACAAUGGGCGCAAGCCUGAUGCAGCCAUGCCGCGUGUAUGAAGAAGGCCUUCGGGUUGUAAAGUACUUUCAGCGGGGAGGAAGGUG
rnacentral:rRNA from 1 species